AGUACGUUUGCAGUAGGAAUGCUAUUUUUUACAUCUGAAAGAAAUAUGAUAGUCAUGAAGAUGGAGAUGUAUUUGUUUUGCGAAAUAUUAGGAUAUUUCAGUUCUCUUUAACUUUAAUAUCGGUAGCCAAUAUCUCAAACAAAUGAAUAACGAAACAUUUACCUUGAUCUCGAACCAACUCGUCACAGAUGGAAUCUAAAGCUAGUUACAGGCUCCUUGAUGAAGAGGGCAUGGAGUGGUAGCGUCCUCGUAGACCCACUUGAGGUUGGCUAGUACACCUUCUCGGAAUGAGAAAAUAAGACUUAACAAAGGGUGAAGGCUGCGAUAAUGGCAGAAAUUUCUAACCAAGAGGCGUAUAAACAUGUCUAGUUGGUAAAACGGUUUAUUUUAAUAUUGUGCUCACAAAAAUAAUGAGAACAGUACCAUAAGUCGAGCUAAUGCAUCGCCUGCAGGGACGCUUUGGCGGUAAGAUACUUCCUGCUACUGCAAAGGGCUAGCAAUAAAUACUUCCUGCUACUGUAAAGGGCUAGCAAUAAAAACUAGGUUCGUGAGCUUCCUAUUGCAACACCACAAAGCAGGCAAUGGCAAACUGUAUUUCUUGACAAGGAGGAAAGUAAACAUGUUAGUCAGGAGCAAACCACAUGCAUGGGGGACGCAAUGAACACAAGUUUAAUGUUCAGUAAUUAUGCGCCCCUAAUUAAAUGGAUGGUUAUACAGGUUAUACGUCAGAUAUAACCCAUGGAAAACACUCCAGAGAGGGUAAGUAAGUGGGUUAGUUUUCAGUAGGUUGACCCAACUGAUGUUGGAAAUACAAGAUGUCGUAGCAGGGUGGCCGCCCAGCUUUAGUGAAAGCCCCGGUGGGGAUUCCAGCGUAGGAACAGUGUAAGUUGGCAUGGAAACGUGUAUGCAGGGUACUUACCCGGUUCAACUAAUGAUUACAAUCAUGAGCACGUGUAUGUAGUUACCUCUUAUUUUGAUAUGCUACUUGGGUUUGAUAUGUUCAUAACUCCAAGCAGAACCAUUUAUAUUGGCACAUGCACCUCUUAUUUUUGACGGUCAUGUUUUGAGAUUCGAGACGGGAGGGGUACAUAUUACCAUGGACGUUUAGAUGCAGUUCAAUUGGUGGUGCGACACUUUCAGAUGUUACCCAGGGAUGAGCAAUACGGAGAGCAUAAAAGGAGACCAUGGGGUUACUAUGUGCGUUGAUGCAUCUCGCAUAAAGCGGGUGGCAGUCCAGUCAGUGGACGCUGCCAUUCGGAGUUGCUUGCAGGGAGGUGGAUGUCCGGGAAGCAGUCGAGAUCGCGGUCGCGGUGCAGGGUGAGCGACGCAGGUUAUAUUGCCGAACACGCGGUUUACCGACGGCGUGCCAGACACAUGGAAACAGCUGGACGGAGUAUAUCGACCAUGAGUUGUUCCAAACAUGGUUUAUAAAAGGAUUUCUGUCCCAAUGUUGGCGAGCAAGGCCGGUUGUGAUGAUCAUGGACAAUCAUGACGCACACAUUUCCCUACCAGUUAUUGAGGCGGCCAGGGCGAAAGAUGUUGCUCUGAUCGGUUUCCCGGAUAUACCACGCACAUCUUGCAACCGUAGGAUAUGAAGGUUUCUCAAACUCAAUAGCAUCCAAGUCAAAAGCCUAAAUCGUUGAACAAUUUAUUAACAAGGCUAAAAAAUCAAAUAAACAUUGUACUCGUAUACAUUUAGUUACAUGUAAGUUUACACGAAAAGUAAAUAGAGACUUACAUAAGCAGUGUUUUAUUUGUAUAAACAGUUUAUUGAUUGAUUUUAAAAACUCAUUGUCAGAUAAUUGGCCCGUUAAAGACAAACAUGGCCUGAAUUUCGUCUGAUCUGGGAAUCGUUUGCCCUUCCUUGACUAUAGGGAAAUCCAAAUACCCAGUUUUACUGAUGCAUGCGAUGGACCGCAUCACAUCGUCUACCAUCGAAGGGGCAUUUGCCAAAGCUGAUAUCAACCCACUAGACAGGAGAGCCAUAGACGAGUCCCACCUUAUACCGGCGAUGUUACCAGCUGUGCAAAAUAUUAAUGGUACAGUUUACCGGCAAGAUGACUAUCUAAAAAAGCGUUAAAAUCAUGUUUAAAAAAAUGAUUUACACAUUGCCCGCAUCCUCAUAUUUAUUUAUCCUUUUGUUUUUCAUAGUAUGAACAUAUGCGUUAUUCUUAGAUCACAACUCGGCCCAGACAUGUAAAGAAUGUGGACGUACGUUUCACUAUUAACCCUUUGGCCAAUGCCGGUCUCGUGCCCGAGUCACUUGCUGACAUUUUAGGACCACCAGCGUCAAAACCUGCAGCUCAACGAAAAACAUGAAGAAUGAUUACCGAGGGACGAGUCAUAUGUGGUGACGAAAUACUGAAGAAGUCUGGUACGGCGUAGGUAUUUAAUUACCAUAAUACAACAAUAUCCAACAUUCAGAAGCUGUGCACAUUAUGCCUGUACCACGGCACAUUAAAACUUAUUUCGUUAUUACUAUCUCGUGUCAUAUCAAAUCGUUUAAGUGCAUUUUACAAUGGUUCUCCUCCGAUAGAAACUAAAGAAAACUUCCGCCGAGAAAGAACGUCGAGAUGCACAGCGAUGUUUGGAAGCGAAAGAGGAACGUGUUGAAAAGCGACUGGCCAGGGCAAAGGAACAGACGAAAAAAGCGGAGGAGCAAAAAGAUAGAGGGAAACUUGCUAACAAGACGUUUUACGUGUGGAGUCUGUUGUAUGAGAGUGAGAGUGUUAGAUGAGAGAAAGGGCAUUGUGUGGUUCGGGUGUUAUGAGAAAGUGUGUGGGAAUCGGUACCAUUUUGAAUGUUUGAAUCGUAGCGAGCAAGAAUACUUGCGAGAGAGAAUGGAAGAGGGAGAACGCUGGUAUUGUAAGUCAUGUAAGCCAUGGCUGUAUUGUGAAGAGUUAAUGGUUGGUCCAUUGUGUUUCUCGUUCACGAGAUUCAUGUGAGCUGCUUUUGACGUAUGUGAUGUAUUGAUUGUUAUAAAACCUUAUGUAUUUAAUUAAACACAUGUUUGGUAUUAAAUAACCAUCAUAUUUGGAAUAAUACCAAUAAAAUGAUAAUAUCUA